rnacentral:rRNA from 1 species
GUUAAUUCGACGCAACGCGAGAACCUUACCAGGGCUUGACAUCCCCUGACCGCGUAUGAAAGUACGUUUUCACCUCGGGUGACAGGGAGACAGGUGGUGCAUGGUUGUCGUCAGCUCGUGUCGUGAGAUGUUGGGUUAAGUCCCGCAACGAGCGCAACCCCUACGUUUAGUUGCUAACGCGUGAAGGCGAGCACUCUAGACGAACUGCCGUUGACAAAACGGAGGAAGGUGGGGAUGACGUCAAAUCAUCAUGCCCCUUAUGUUCUGGGCUACACACGUGCUACAAUGGCCGGUACAGACGGACGCAAAGCCGCGAGGUGGAGCAAAUCCUAAAAAGCCGGUCUCAGUUCGGAUUGCAGGCUGCAAUUCGCCUGCAUGAAGUCGGAAUCGCUAGUAAUCGCAGGUCAGCAUACUGCGGUGAAUACGUUCCCGGGCCUU